rnacentral:rRNA from 1 species
AGAAUGAACGCUGGCGGCAGGCCUAACACAUGCAAGUCGAACGGGGUCGCAAGACCUAGUGGCGGACGGGUGAGUAACGCGUGGGAACAUACCCCUUUCUUCGGAAUAGCCUCGGGAAACUGGGAGUAAUACCGGAUACGCUCGCAAGAGGAAAGAUUUAUCGGUAAGGGAUUGGCCCGCGUUGGAUUAGGUAGUUGGUGGGGUAAUGGCCUACCAAGCCGACGAUCCAUAGCUGGUUUGAGAGGAUGAUCAGCCACACUGGGACUGAGACACGGCCCAGACUCCUACGGGAGGCAGCAGUGGGGAAUCUUAGACAAUGGGGGAAACCCUGAUCUAGCCAUGCCGCGUGAUCGAUGAAGGCCUUAGGGUUGUAAAGAUCUUUCAGUUGGGAAGAUAAAUGACGGUACCAAACAGAAGAAGCCCCGGCUAAACUCCGCGCCAGCAGCCGC